UCUUAGGGCUAUUAAAAAUGAUGCAGAAUUUUAACCAUCUGCUGCACCAGGUACUCCACAGUGGUUCUACAGAUCUGUGUUUUCGCAGAGGGAAGACCUGCAGAGCUUUCAAAUUGCAAAACUGCAUUUAAGCGUUUAAAUAUUUCAUGAAACAGCACCCUUAAAGCCAGAUUCCUUUUAAUUGCAAAUUGAGAAAUAGGUUUUACCAAAAUCGAAGCAUUUUCCAUCCUUAACGUGCUGCCGGGGGGGGGGGGGGGGGGGGGGUCUAAAAGGGGCACAGGUGUACUGCUGAGGACAGGGUGCCAGCGCUGCCAAAAUGCUGUCCCUGCAAGCACUAUGAAGGCUCCAGAAACAGCCAGAGAUAGAAACUGAGUGUUUUGUAGCCUCCUAAGGCUUUUGACUGAAGUGUGCGAGACAUAACUGCGUGUGGAGAGUCAUCUCUUGCACUUGACCGGCUGCUUGUGUACGUAUCGGAGCAAAAUUACCUAAUGAAUAACAUGGAGACUGGAGAAGAAACCGGGCUGCCAACAUGGCCUCGUGAACUAUGUUAGUAUGUCCAGCUCACAGGGGAAGACCGCUUCGAAAUAAUAAUGGAUGGAAAAAAUGUUUUUGAAGUGUGCCUGGCUUAGAAUGCAUUUCAUGGUCAGUGGAAAAAAAUGAGGAAGAGGAGGGUGUGGCUGCAGAGAAUUUGGCUGUGCAGGCAGGGACUGGCUUUGGGGUUGUGAUCCUUCAACCUCGCAGAAGGAAGACUUCUCUUAGUCAUAAAUGGUUCGAUUCAGAGGUGCUGUUCUGAACCGAGGCCUUCCUGCUCCAACUGCCUGUGAACUCCACAGCCAAAACUGCACUGCUGCAGCUGCUGGUGCUGGAGUUUGCUUGGACUUCCCCAGUGCACGUUUCAUAAUGCAGUGCAUUGUCCACAGGGUGUCUUUGAGAGUGGGAUAGAAAUCCAUUCACAUUUUCUAAAAUCCUUGCUGUGCGUUCUGUCAUUUUUGUCAAAUAUGAAAUGUGUGUGUAUGUGUGUGUGUAUAUAUAUAAGCAGAAUGCUCAACUGUAUCUGUGUAUGGGAAUAAAAAUUUCUAGACAAAGGAAAUACAGAAUCACAUGUAUGUGUGACAUUUUGUUUACUAAAGCUGAAAAAUAGCAGAAUACUGUUAAAGCCGAAUAUGUAAAUUUAGACAUCCUUUCAAAAUGUAGGAAGCCUGGUAAUGAAUACAAGUGUGACAAUUUUGGUAAGUAUAACAUGACAUGGGGGAGAAAUGAUUCCCAGGAAGACAGUUCAUGGAAUACAAAUUUUAUAAAGUACUGAAUUAAAUGUGGUGUUAUUUUUUCCUCAACUGUAAUCUAUACUUGCAAUUAAUAUAAAUAAUAUAAAGCCUCUAUUAUCUGUACAGAUAAAUACAUUAAUAGAGUUAUUAUACCAUUGAUAUUCUUUUUUCAUGAUAAUAAUUAUGAGUCAAUAUUGUUCGUGCUAAGAGGGUUUUUUCUUUUUUAAGAAAUGGGAUUUAAAUGCCAACACACUGUUACACUCUGAGACUUCAGAUAGCCAAUCUAGACAGAUGAAUCUAAGAUGCACAUGAUUCAUUACACAUUUUAUUUUUAAAAGGUUAAAGAGAAAUAUUUAAUUCAACUGUAAAACUGAAGUUGGCUAUGUACAAUAGAUAGGAUACUAAUGUUCAGCUCAUAGAUGGAUACAGUACCUAUGAAUUCACUGUGUGCAACCAAUUUGGGUUAAAUAUCUUCAUGUGUACUAAAUAAUUGCAACUCUGCUAUGAAUGUGUCAUCACAAUGGAUAACCCUUUUUAUUUUCUUCCACUGUGUGUGAAUUUGUCACCUUACUAACAUUUCACUGCAAAAAAAACCAACCAACCAAACAAACAAAAAAAACCAAAAAAAAACAGAGCAAUUUCUGUGGUAUGUUCUCCUUUUUGUUCCCACUACAAUUUACUUUGUAGCCCCUUCAUUGUAAAACAGAUAAAAAACAGAGCCUCUUAAUACAAAAUUUGGUCACUCAGCAACUCUUGCUUACUUGAAAAGCCUGUGAGUAAUUUGCAAUAUGAAGGUAUUUUAAUGCCCUGUUUUGUGGACCUAAGAAAUUUCAGGUUUUCAUUGCAGAUUUCAGUAUGCCUAUCUGCUUAUUUUUUGCAGCUUAAUAUUCCCUAAAAGUCAACACUUUUAUAAUUUUUUACAAGGCGAUAUUUACUUUCUUUUUUCUAUAUAUUUGUAUUUUAAUUCUCUCACUCCCCCCCUUUCUCCCCUAGUAGCUAUUUCUUCAGGGCACACAAUUUUGAGCAGACCUGCCCAUUUAAAUAAACAGGGGUGUGUUUUAAAAUCCAAUAGCUUGUCAUAACUCUGUGUUCCCAGUGAAAUCAGAAGAAAAGUAGUGCUGGAGCAGAGCACUUGAACUUUGAGAACUGGAGUUGUCAGCCACUGCUGAAGGUACAGGAACAGCGGAUGCCUCCCAUUGUUGUCGCUGGGAGCUGGCAGCAGCUGUGGCAGGGGGAGCGUGCGGAGGAGCCGCCAGCCGCCCGCUAGGGCUGGCCGAGAGGGACGCGGUGCGGCGAUACUUGCCACCGCCGGCGGGUUUUAGGUUGGACUCUCCCUGCCCAGCGAGGCGGCCCCUCCCUUCGCCAGGCUGGCGAGAAGCAGCGGGCUUCGUUUUCUUAGCAGACAAAGAAAGAAGCUCAAGAAAAGAAACCGACAAAGUUGGGCGGUGCAAGUUUUUAUAUCUAUUUAAUAUUUCGACGUGUCCCAGGCGUUAUUAGACAUCGGCGUGCAGAGCGGUCACGAUGCGCCUGGGAGCGAGUCCAUGGGGUUUUGUGCCAUUUGUACGCCUGGGCAACACCAUACCCGUCCUGAACUCAUAUUUUUGAGUGUCUCAGCCUGGAUGUAGCCCAGAUGUGUGAAAUACACAGCAGCAGAAUUUGAGUUUUCAAGUGAAAUAGCUUUUCUUUGUCUGAAUCAUUCUUCGAAAUGCAAGAUUAGAAGUUUCCUACCACGUCAUCUUCAAGACUCACAGAAAAUUCUCCUGCAACUUGUGGCUGCCUGGAAAAAGAUGAUGAUGUAGUCUGGCAAAAUGAACUCAAGAAGAAGAUGCUAGAGACUGAUCUGUAAGUUGAUCAGGUUCACUGAUAAGAUGCAAACCAGAAUCUGCCUAUUGGUAGUCUUUCCAGAUAUGAUUCAGAGCUAAUAAGAGAGACUGAGAAGUACCAUGACUCCAAACAGAAUCAUUUUGCUGUGCAGAAUGGCACGAGAUGAACUAGCACAUUUCAGAAUAAGUUAAAUAGAGAACAAAGUAUUAUGUCAAUGGACAAGUAGAAGAAGAGGAGCUGAUCUCUGACCAGAAAAGAAAAAUAAAGAAUUGCUAAGACUUUGAGAAAAAUAAGCCUGAAUGUUUUAGUUCUAAGAAAGAGAAAUGACCUAGGGGGAGCCAAGUUACAAGACGAACUAAUGAAGUUAGAAGAGGAAAGAAGUGAAAAUUGGUCAUCUAUGCAAAGAAAAUGACAAGGCUUUGUCUCCCAUGGAUCCUGGCCUCACCCCAUUUUCCCACUGGGAUCUGCCGAAUGUCAUUUCUGCCCUCAGGAGCUGGGAAGCACGGCUCAGGCUGAGAUCCUGCUGCUGUUGCUCCCACAGAUGUCCCUGUCACGCCUGGCAGCCGGCUUAGGCUGGGCAGAAAGCCCACCAGGGCCAGCACAGCAAAUCAGCUGAUUAGGGGUGCCCCCUGGGGACCAAUCUGAUGGAAUAAUAACAACGGAAAGAGAAAGCUGGUGCUGUGAAUGGGCCUCUGAGAAAAUGUACAGAGAAGCUGCUGUCUGCUUUUUCACUGGCUGUCACUCACCUUAUAAUUGUUUCAGUGUGCACUGAAAUGAAGUUGAAACAUGCGUGUUUUCUCUUUCUGCAUCCCGAUUUUGAUUGUGCUAAGAGCAGUGGAAGAUCCCAUCAGUUGCCCUGAAACAUGACCUACCUACUUUGGGGUGAGAUCUGCUUUGUUGUAAAGGAUGGCUCUAGUUUUUCUGUGUGUAUCAUGUAUUCUUGUCUUUAAUUUGCAAUUAACAAAAACAGGUUUUGCUUGGAGAAGGCUCCAGGAAGUCCUCGUUGUGGCCUUCCAAGACUUGAAGGCAACGUAUAAUCAGGAGGGGGAAUGGCUGUUUACGAGGGUGGACAGUGAUAGAACAAGGGGGGAUGGUUUUAAACUGAGACAGGGGAGGUUUAGUUUAGAUAUUAGGAGGAAGUUUUUCACAUAGGGGGUGGUGAAGCACUGGAACAGGUUGCCCAAGGAGGCUGUGGAUGCCCCAUCCCUGGAGGCAUUCAAGACCAGGCUGGAUGUGGCUCUGGGCAGCCUGGUCUGGUGGAUGGUGACCCUGCAUACAGGAGGGGGGUUGAAACUAGAUGGUCUUUGAGGUCCUUUUCAACUCAGGCCAUUCUAUGAUUCUGUGAUUCUAAAUUAGCUUUUUAAGUUUCAGUACUUGCUUGAAAACUUUAUUUAUUUACAUUACAAAUAUGGACUGAUAUCAUAGUUUUUGUCACUUGUUUGGAUUUUGCCUGAGUGCAGUGUGCAUCAAACCAGAUGGUGGGGAGUGACAGCACCCUCAAACUCUAGUGUUGGUGUGAGAUUAUGAUACAGUAGUGGCAAUUUUGCUAGUCAUAUUAACCAAUGUCUGUGUAUUACAGUAGGGUACAUUUAAUUUGGCCAUUGAUUCAGUGGUGAGGUACUGUCCUUUAGAAUUAGCAUGUUGCUUAAGUAAGCCAUAAUACUUUCUGACAGUCAGCAAAUUCUUGGUUCAAUCUUAAAGACUUACCCAUGCAGAACUUGGGAAAGUCAGUAAGAGAAGCUGAGUUUUUCCCCACUAGGAUAACAGAGGAAUACCUAGGGGGCAAUGCAGAACAAAUCCCUCUAAUUCAGCAUCUAUUCUCUAAGUCACUGUGAUGCCUUUCUUUAACAAACAAAACUGGUUUGUUAAGAUGCGGUCAUGUCAGAACUGGAAGUACAAAAGUGCAUUUAUUAAAAAUGAAUUCCGUAUCCUCUUCCCUCUUGUGUAUCUUGUCACUGACAUGACUUCACAUAUUGCAAAUCUAUUAAGCUUUUAAAACAUGAAACUAGAGCUCAUUAAGCAAAAUGUCAACUGGUGUAUAGCAAACUCUUUCAGAAUGAAGACUGAUAAUGUUUGUCUCCGGAGUCUUUUGUCUUCUAGGUCAUCAGCAAGUCAUCCAGCUUUCUGGAAAUAUAGUUUGUGGUUUCUCUGAUCGGAGUCUGACUGUCCUUUGGGGUGAGGUAGUAGGUUGUAUAGUUUUAGGGUUAUGCCCUGCCUGUCAGAUAACUAUACAAUCUACUGUCUUUCCUGAAGUGGCUGUGAUAUCAUCGCUGGAUAUGUCUUCAAAAUGCAAAGCAAAUGUAUUUCAACUGUAACAUUCUCUGGCUCUGUCUAUACGUUGGUUUUGAUUCUUAUGAAAGAAAUGUCCUUAAAGUGUUUGAAUUCCUCUAUCGUUUGGAUUGGAAAGCAGUUUCCUUUUUUUCAUCUUCUCAGAGAAAGUGGGGUGUCAGAGGGCACAGAUGUAUCUUAGUCUACAAGGUUUGUUUAUGCUCAAUUUUCUCCAUCUACCAGUGUGCUCACAAGAGUGGCCAUUUGGAAAAAGGUGAUCCAUUUCUUCAUUACUUUGUGGCAUUUGUAUUUAUAUUCCACCUUUUUUUAAAUGCCACUUUUUCAGCAGUUAUGUAAAUGCACCUAGGAUAAUUUGAGAACAAGUGAUGACUUGGAUAAUAAUACAAAGAAGAUGUCUCAUUUUCUGCUCUUGAACCAGUAAAUGCUUGACCCCUAAGGGAAGAGAUUUUUUUUAAUCAAUUUUUGAAUUGUGAUUUUACUCAUGUUUUAUUACAUUGUGCAAAUUUGGGAAGGAGAGUGCUUUCCACUGCAGUUCUUCUAUAUUCUCUAUAGAGUCACCCCACCAAGUCUGAUGGACUUCCAGGAAGAAAUCUGAGGAAGGGCAGACAGGACAUAAUUAUGCUCUUUUUGAGGCUAAGAAAUGUGGGCUAGAAAGUGUUUAGGGGAUCUUACUUAUGGUAGGUGAAAUGCUAGUUUGCUUCAGAAGAUCCGCCUGGUGCUCUAACAGGAUGAGGUAGUAGGUUGUGUGGUUUCAGGGUAGUGAUUUUGCCCCAAUCAGGAGAUAACUAUACAACCUACUGCCUUCCCUGAUAGGCAGCAUAACAUCAGUAUCUUAAUUUACAGAAAAACCAAAGGCUAAAAUAAACUUCUGUGACCAGCAAAGUAAGUCUACAUACAAUUGUUGUUACCCAGUCCCUAAUACAUCUAACUUCAGUGUCUGGCAUUAUUUUUAAUAACUGCCUACAAAAUAAUUAUCUCUUUUAAGGUCUCUAUGGGGAAAAACAGAAUUAAAAAAGUUCUGCUAUUCAAGAGUUUGUCUGUUCUUGAUUUCUUUUGUUUCUGGUUCAUUUUAGAGGAUUGAAGUUUUCAGGGAAAUGAUUCAAAAAAUGCUGUGGACUUGCAUUCAAGUUGUUCAUAUUUCCUGGACAUUUUAGUUUGAAUGCAACAAAUUGUACUGGCAGUGUACUGUUUUUGUUCAGCCCUCUGUCCCCCUCAGGAAUCUUCCAGUGUUUUACAAAUAAUUGUCACACAGCACUCUUGAGCAGAUCAAUUUUGUACUACAGAUAAAAAGCUGUGAUGAUGAAAAUCAAGGACCAGAUUGAAAAGACAAAAACAGACGUUGAUUUUGUAUCCUCACUUGCUCAUUUCAUCUCAUCAAAGCAGUCUCAUUUCAUGGCAUUUAAAUAGUCCUGAAAGUGAAUUUGCUGACUACCUAAAAGGCACAAAUUGUACCUGGAAAAUCAUGGCCAGGAAAUGUUAGUUGGGUCCAUUAAAGGCAUUUUGAAAUACAAACUGUAGUCUUAAUGCAAGAAAAAGAAAAAGAAAAAGGAAAAAAAAACAGAAACAAAAACACCCCAACUGUGGAAAUCAUUUUUUCCACAUGCAAAACUUUUCAGGAAAUGGGAAUCAUGUAAAACUGAAUGUUAACUUAAGAUCAGAGGUUUCAAGCUGGUUGCAUAGAGUCAGUCGUGUAUAUUUUAAUUAUACAGCAUCUGAUUACCGUAAAUUGGAAUGUAAAUUUGUCAUAUCUGUAGCUAAGCAAGCCCAGAUCCAUGGUUAGAGCGAAUAAACUGAUACUAUGUUCAGCAGCAGAACUGGGUAUUUCAUUGCUUCUCUCAUCCAAAAAUAUCACACAUAUCUGGACUCUGAGGGUUUUUGAGGUCAAUGAACGCUUCAAAACAAGGCCAUUUGUUCAUACCGUUGAUAAACAGUUAGGAAUGUUAUUUGACUUGUGUUCAUAGGGAUAAAGGCAGUUG